rnacentral:tRNA from 1 species
GGAGAGAUGGCCGAGUGGUUGAAGGCGCCGCUCUCGAAAAGCGGUGUUCGAGUUUAUCUCGGACCAAGGGUUCGAAUCCCUUUCUCUCCGCCA